AUGAAUACCAUUGAUGGUUCAUGCCCUACAGGUGAGGCCAUGCCUCAAGAAGUGGAUUCAAGGAGGGAGAAGUUGGGAAGAAUCCUGCAAGCAAGAGCACCCUCCCCACCUCCCCUGUUCUCUCCCUAUGCCUAUCCUUCCACCCCAUCCAUCAGAUGGGUAGAGGGGUCUCCCCAGGAUGAAUGUGGAGGGACGGCAGGGCCAGCAGGAGAGGUCCCUGGGCAGAGCUGGCCCCUGGUUGGAGCCCAGCAUCUCCAAACUGUAGCCCAGAGAAGGAGGCACAUCAGGACCCAGGAAGAACCCCUCAGAGCUGGAGUUGACUUGACCAACUUUCCCCGAGAUGAGAUGGACUCCGGAGAGGAUGGUGAGAUGGGAGGUCAGAGGGGCCUGCAGGGGGCAUCUUUUUUUCAUCAUGGAUAGGCACACAGAACCAGGACCGGAGGCAGUGGAAGGGCCUCGGGUCACUGCCUGUCACUGACCUGAAGGACAGGCCAACUCAGAUCUCCCUGGAAGCUGGCUCUCCUGUUCUGACUGGAGACUGAGACCCCAACUAGGAUGUGAGCAGGGACAUUCUGGCCAGGAACACUGGGGAGCAGACUGUGAGAGGUACUUGUCAUCUCAGCCUUAUCUGGACACAUUUGUGUUCCUUCCCAGCAGGCACCCCAUUCCCAGGCACUGGUUGUUCUCCCCCAGGGCCUGCUAGGAUGACCCCCAAUGCACUAGCCAGGCAUCCACCCAUCCCACCUUCCAGGGACACAGGGGUCGGGUCCCCACACCUCAACAGGUGAAGCCCAUUCUUCACCAGCUGCCAGCACGGAGCCAGCCUCCUUCCCGGGAAACCAUCUGCUCAGCUCAGGUUGCCUGAAAUGGGUACCAGCAUCUGAACAAACAGUCCUGAGUGAGGCGGGGCUGGGGGUGGUGUUGCAAGAGGUAGGGCCCCUGCCCCUAGCCCUGCUCUGGAGGGAAUUCGCACGAGUUCUCACAGCUGCCGCUGUCCCAGUCCUGCCUGAUGACUGCAUAGACUUCCCACUCCUCAGCCCCAUGGCUGCCACUGCCUGCCCACUGGAGCUCUCCCCGGCCCUCCCCAGGCCACCCGUCUUCUUGUCCUGGCACAUGAGUGGCCUCUGCUUCCCUCCAGGAAGAGUCCUCCCAUGGCUCCCAUCCCUGUCACCACACCAGUCAAGCUGGGCUGUCCUUCUCAGUGUCCACCACUGCCCUAAUGCCAAGGGCAGGCUGGCACACAGUGGGUAAUCAGAAAGCAUUGCUGCCUGUGGCCGUGACUGUGGAGUGAGUGCUCCCAGGGAUGUGGCCUGUUUAGUUUGGACCAGCUGUUCUUCCUGCUCCUCAGUCGACGUGAAGGCCUGACCCAGACUUAGAGCUGGGCAGGCUCCUGCCUGGGGGCUGCCCAUGUAAGACCCAUACUCAGGCCAGCUGACUCUGCCCCUGCCCACUUGGGGAAAGAAGGGACUGGCACGGCCCCUCCCCCAUACCCCUCUGCUGGCAUUGGCAUUCAGAGGAGGGGUGGGGGGGGCCCUGCCACCCGGGAGGAACAGCCUCUCUGGGCCUCAGAGCUCUCAUCUGGGAAAUGGUGCCCCAUCUAUGGGGUGCAGGGUUGCUGUGGACCUAGGAUCUGGGCACUCUGUGCCUGGCACCCCUCAGAAGGCUUUGGACCCUACCUUGCCUGCUGCCUAGGGGUCGGGGCAGGGAGCAAGUGACCUUCGUGCAUCUUUUUCCACGAGAGACUGUCAGCGAUCUCUGUCUCUAGGUGGGGGACUUCCAGACAGCACAGAGGCGGGACCUGUGGGGUCCUGGGUACCCGUAGGACGGCACAGGGCUCCCCAAGGACCCGUGGGUACACAGGGGUCCCUAGCAAGCCUGAUGGCCUAUUUGCUAUGUGAUCUCAGGCCGGGGUUGGGGAGGAGUGUGAGGUGUGGCCCCUCCUGCUGGGUACUCCAAAAAGCAGUAAGUGCCUCCCCCAAGGUUCAUUUUCCAUUUCCUGUAGGUCGG
ensembl:lncRNA